GAAAUAAAUUAAUUAAAAAUAAGCUUCUAACUUAAUUUUUUAGCGAUGGAAAUUCGUUAUUAUUUCA
rnacentral:tRNA from 1 species